rnacentral:rRNA from 1 species
UACGAAGGGGGCUAGCGUUGCUCGGAAUCACUGGGCGUAAAGGGUGCGUAGGCGGGUCUUUAAGUCAGGGGUGAAAUCCUGGAGCUCAACUCCAGAACUGCCUUUGAUACUGAAGAUCUUGAGUUCGGGAGAGGUGAGUGGAACUGCGAGUGUAGAGGUGAAAUUCGUAGAUAUUCGCAAGAGCACCAGUGGCGAAGGCGGCAUCCUGGACCAACACUGACGCUGAGGAGCGAAAGCCAGGGGAGCAAACGGG